CCCUCCAAUAUUUGCCGGCGUUUCGGGCGUACCGCUCUCAUUCUUAUAAACACGCUCGUCGGGAAAGCAUCGCUCCCAAAAACACAAACAAAAUAAAAUAGAAUAAAAAACACGUAUGUGAGUAAAACGCGUCUCCCUAGAAUUUUAGAAACUACGCAGUUCGUUUAUUUAUUGGCCGACAAAUAAAAUAGCGCGUGGUCAGUUUAUAGUCACUUACAUAAUGCCCAUAAUACGAACAAUAAUACGGCGGAUAGCCGGCGAUUUUUGGCAACGACCUUACUGCGUCAUUGAUUUAAUAUUUAUUUGCUUAUCGGCCGAUUAGAAUUUCGUGAUAUUGGUGUUUGGUUACGAGUUAGUCAGGACCUAGGACAACCGUCGAUCUUAGUAGUGAGCUUAUCGCUGAUUGAUUGGAAAGUUUCCACUGACUUUUCACCAGGUUUCAAUUUUCCAGAACCCAAACGCAAUUCCCAAGGAAACGUUGUCAGAAACUAAACAACCCCUA